AUGGCGACCGGCGCACGGGUGAGUAACACGUAUCCAACCUGCCGAUGACUCGGGGAUAGCCUUUCGAAAGAAAGAUUAAUACCCGAUGGCAUAGUUCUUCCGCAUGGUAGAACUAUUAAAGAAUUUCGGUCAUCGAUGGGGAUGCGUUCCAUUAGCUUGUUGGCGGGGUAACGGCCCACCAAGGCAUCGAUGGAGUAGGGGUUCUGAGAGGAAGGUCCCCCACAUUGGAACUGAGACACGGUCCAAACUCCUACGGAAGGCAGCAG
rnacentral:rRNA from 1 species